UACGUAGGGGCUAGCGUUGUCCGGAAUCAUUGGGCGUAAAGCGCGUGUAGGCGGCCCGGUAAGUCCGCUGUGAAAGUCGGGGCUCAACCCUCGGAUGCCGGUGGAUACUGUCGGGCUCGAGUACGGAAGAGGCGAGUGGAAUUCCUGAUGUAGCGGUGAAAUGCGCAGAUAUCAGGAGGAACACCAAUUGCGAAGGCAGCUCGCUGGGACGUUACUGACGCUGAGACGCGAAAGCGUGGGAGCAACAGG
rnacentral:rRNA from 1 species